AUUGAACGCUGGCGGAAUGCUUUACACAUGCAAGUCGAACGGCAGCACGGGUGCUUGCACCUGGUGGCGAGUGGCGAACGGGUGAGUAAUGCACCGGAACGUACCCAGUAAUGGGGGAUAACUAUCCGAAAGGAUAGCUAAUACCGCAUACGCCCUGAGGGGGAAAGCGGGGGAUCGUAAGACCUCGCGUCAUUGGAGCGGCCGAUGCCGGAUGGGCUAGUUGGUGGGGUAAAGGCCCACCAAGGCGACGAUCCGUAGCUGGUCUGAGAGGACGACCAGCCACACUGGAACUGAGACACGGUCCAGACUCCUACGGGAGGCAGCAGUGGGGAAUUUUGGACAAUGGGCGAAAGCCUGAUCCAGCCAUUCCGCGUGAGUGAAGAAGGCCUUCGGGUUGUAAAGCUCUUUCGCAAGGAAAGAAAACUUACUUACUAAUACUAGGUGAGGUUGACGGUACCUUGAUAAGAAGCACCGGCUAACUACGUGCCAGCAGCCGCGGUAAGAC
rnacentral:rRNA from 1 species